rnacentral:rRNA from 1 species
GAUGAACGCUGGCGGCGUGCCUAAUACAUGCAAGUCGAGCGAACAGACGAGGAGCUUGCUCCUCUGACGUUAGCGGCGGACGGGUGAGUAACACGUGGAUAACCUACCUAUAAGACUGGGAUAACUUCGGGAAACCGGAGCUAAUACCGGAUAAUAUAUUGAACCGCAUGGUUCAUUAGUUAAAGACGGUUUUGCUGUCACUUAUAGAUGGAUCCGCGCCGCAUUAGCUAGUUGGUAAGUUAACGGCUUACCAAGGCAACGAUGCGUAGCCGACCUGAGAGGGUGAGCGGACACACUGGAACUGAGACACGGACCAGACGCCUACGGGAGGCAGCAGUAGGGAAUAGUACGCAAUGGGCGAAAGCAUGACGGAGCAACGCCGCGUGAGUGAUGAAGGUGUUCGGAUCGUAAAACUCUGUUAUUAGGGAAGAAAAAAUGUGGAAGUAAAUAUGCACGUAUUGACGGUACCUAAUCAGAAAGCCACGGCUAACUACGUG